AAAAGGAGAGAGCUAUGGCGUUCCUCCUCAGAAGGGGCAAGCAUGAAGAACUUUUGUCAGGGAGGCAUCAAAUCAGUUCUUUCAUGUUUAAAAAGUUAGGCAGGAUUCAAACUCAAACAAGAUACUGCACCUGAUUUCUAGCUGGAAAGGUCAAGGAAGGAUUGAUGAUAUACUGGCUUUUGUUUAGCUAAUUCAAGCGGUAAACAGAACAAGAAAAACUCUGGAGGGUAAAGUCGAAACGCCAUGCAUGGACGUGGGAUAAUACACCACGGAGGAUGGGAUUCAGAAAAGGACAUGAAU